rnacentral:rRNA from 1 species
UACAGAGGGGGCAAGCGUUGUUCGGAAUUACUGGGCGUAAAGGGCGCGUAGGCGGCCUGCUAAGUCGAACGUGAAAUCCCCGGGCUCAACCCGGGAACUGCGUCCGAUACUGACAGGCUUGAAUCCGGGAGAGGGAUGUGGAAUUCCAGGUGUAGCGGUGAAAUGCGUAGAUAUCGAGAGGAACACCUGCGGCGAAGGCGGGUUGCUGGGCUGACACUGACGCCGAUGCGCGAAAGCCAGGGGAGCGAACGGG